AGAUUGUUCUCCCAUGGUUUGCCUUAGAGGUCAUGAAGUAUAUUUUCAUUAAUAAGAUAUAAAAUAGUGGCCUUUCCUUCUAGAAAAUCUCAGAAAAAGGAGGCGAAGAGAAUCUGAGCUCCUCUGCCUACUGAAGAGACACUGGCAUGUCAGGACAUGGAAUGUGACCUUCAAAGAGUAGAGAAGAAGGUCUUGUAGUUGAUAGAUGCAGCCUGGGUCACUGGGAUUGAACCUUUCACAGAGCAUAAUCCAGACGAGCAGAAUUAUCUGGGCUCAUCCCAAGCACUGGCCGUGACCCACAUCUCUAGCUACAGAGAACUAGUAACCUGCAACUCAGAUGCCUUUAGGGGUCCCCGACUCUACUCUCCAGUGUCAGGUUGCUCAGAAAGAAACUACAGUCUAUGAACGCCUGGAAAUAUGGGGAUUCUACAUCUGAAGGCUUAGCCUCUAAAAAGGGGAGUGUAGGCCAGAGCUGUAGCUGUAUUUGGUCUCAUGGAUACUGAUGCUAACAUUGAUGAUCUCUGAGGAACAGGACAGAGAAUGAGGUCUUCAUAGCAUCAGCAGCAGAGGGGCCCUGGUAGCUGUGGAGAGGAUAAACACAGAGAGACAAACAGAACCAGAUCCCAGAAAAGCCUGUGGGCUCUGGCAGUGGCUAACUUGGCUGUGAGGUCCUCAAAGACAGAGACCAUAUAGCUGUCACCUAGCAAAGUGCCUGCAAAGGAACAGACUCCAAACUUUUCCAAGGAAGAAGCAGUGAGGAGGAGAGAAGAAGUCUGCAAACAUUGACCAGGCCCCUACUAUGCGACUGGAGACUGUCUACAUGCAUUGAAAGUUCCAGAGACCCAGC